rnacentral:sRNA from 1 species
GACACUGGUGGUCGGCACUCCUGGUUCCCAGGAUGGGGUUCAAAUCCCUGUGGUGUC